rnacentral:lncRNA from 1 species
CCAUUUGUUUGCCAUAGGAAUGUCAGUGAUAAAGAUCUUUUAAAUGGCUGUGUGUUGUUUGUUAUUCUAGGUAGAACUACUCAGCUGGAUGAUGAAAAUGGUGAAAACACACUGAAACAUGACCAAGCAGACCUUGAAGUGUACAAUACAUCAGGACAUUUUGGGAUCAUCUAAUAAACGGCAGUGCAGUUCCCAACCCCAAACAGAAGAGCAUGUGAAGCCUCAGCAACCUGAUCAGGCCACGUAGGAACUGACUGUGGUGGCACCAUGCAUGUAACUGGCCUCAACCGAGUGAUCACCCCGUAUCCUGUCCUCAUUCAGGAAAUGUCUCCAUCUGCCUUCAGUGCUAAGUUGACUUCAAUUUCCCUGCCCAUUGUCACUUUAACCAAGCAGGAGGAGGCACUGCUCCACCACCCUCCUGCCCCAGGAUCCAGACAUAGAUGCUGCUCUACUCUCUCUAACUGCAUGAGAUAGGGCAGGUUAUGGGACCUCUCUGUGCUUCAGUUUCCUCCUAGGUCAAAUGGAAGUGAAGCACCACCUUAUAAGGGUGUUGUGAACUUUAGCAUCAGUCAUGGAACAGUGCCACAUGAUCUGUCACACAGAGCCUCUGAUCGUUUUUGCACUCAGGGCAGAUUUUCAGACAUCAAAGAACUUGAAGAAUUCAGUACACGUGUUUAAGGUAGCAUUGGGGUUUAUCUGUCAGUCUCCUGUGAGUUUGGUCAGCAUGGGUCAGCGUCCUUAUGUGCUCCCUAUUUGUUCUCAUAGCCUGGUAUCUGCCAACACUAGACAUAAGCUAAGAUUUUCCACUGUAAGCGUUUUCCUCUUCCUAGGGCUGGGCUUGGGCAUGAGGUGACACAGAGCUCCGACUGUAAGAGAAGAAACACAAGGUCCAGUUUUUCGUAUGGGACAUCCCCAGGAAGCAAGACCAGAGGCAUCCUCCCCUCACCAUUCUCAUUUUACUCUCUCCUUGUCACCACCUACUGAAAGGAGCCUGGAAGAAGGGCCUGUACCCAAAACAGAAAGCAGCCCUACUCCAAAAGGAGCCCUGGGACCAUGCUGGGGGAAACUACAACAUAGCCUUUACAGCCUACCUAACGCUGUUGCGGUCAUUACAUUAGCCAAGGAAGUUCUCAUCAUGCCCAUGUGGAAGUGAAGAUUGGAGGAUCACAGAGGUUCAGAAACUUCGUCAAGAGCAUCAAGUAAGAGGCAGAGUCAGGAGUUGAACCCAGGUUUUAUGGGUAGAAUAGGGGGGUUCCAAGAUUUGGCUUUUUUUUUUCCUUCUUUUUAGCGUCACCUUUGCUCUGUGGAUGC